GCUUUGUCUGCGGGGCUGGCGGCUGACUCCGCGGGCUCCCGGGCGCCUUCGAGCGCGGGAGGGGAGCCGGGCGCACCGUUUGCGUGCUUCGGCAGCGAUCUGAAAGCCUUGCGCGGGAAAACAACAGCAACACUUAAGAGAACGGCCAGUUUUGUCAGAUAUAGGGCUGGAUCCAGUCUGAGUCCAUUGAACUUAGGUCCCAGUCAGGAUUUAACAUCAGCACCUUAGAUUUCAAGGAGACCCAAACUUAACUUGCUUGCACCCGGAUCCUAAGCACGGCUACUCUCUAGUAAGUCUUAUGAAUUCAAUGGGGAUUCCUCCCAGGUAUGUGGGGUUAAGUUUGCAGCAUCAGUCUGGCUCUUACCUUCAUGACGUCGGUGGCUUAACUGGUAGGGGAACCAGAUAUUCCCUAUAACCCCCCCCCCAAAAAAAAACUCCGCUUCCAGUCGCCCCCCCCUUCCCUGAAGCAGCUCAAAAAAACACAGAAGGAACUUUGCGUACUUACUUCAUUGCACUUUGCUACAAAGCAGGCGAAUCUUUCCUCUUGCUGGAGAACCCGGAAAGGUUUGAGCAUGGAGAAAGAAAUGUACUCAGUUUGCAAAACUGUGAAUGCCUCUCUUUGGCUGUUUAAUGGGGGUAAACCCCCACCAAACCUCUCGAUUUCUUUUUGCAGUGAAGGGUGGGAGAAAAAAGGUCCCCCCCCCAAAAAAAAUCGAGUAAUUAAAAAAAUAAGACAAGGAACCAAAUGAAGAGUAAGAUUUGGGAAGUGCGGAGCUCUUCCGAGCGAGAGCAACGCGCAGCUCCAGCUCCCGGCGCGCGGGCUUCCCGGCGGGGGGGGGGGUAGCAGUUUUGCAGCGCGUCGCGUGCGGGAAGCUUGCGCGCUGCCCAAGGAACCGGCCUCCAAGUUCCUCGUUCCAGGAAUGGGCACUUAAGGGACAACUCGCAAUUGCCCCCCUUACUCAGAAACGCAGAGGAGGGGGGCUUCUUCUUCCCUACUCCGCUGCUUCUCCCCGCCCGUGUGACGCAACAGAAGGUGCCCAUUAAUGCAAAAUCAAAAGAACAUGUUCGAAAUGAGGGGAAAUGCUUGCAUUAAUGACCGCCAGUUGAUAAUUAGCAUUUCCACUGCACGGAUUUCGGCGCUGAAGCAGGGCCCGUCAAGAGUUCCAGCCCCCUCUGAGAAACUUCCAUUAAUUUUGUGCAAUGCAUAGUUCUCUUGUUCGGCCAUUCCUCCCAGGAGCUCAAGGCAACAUACAGGGUCUCUUUCUCUCUCUCUCUCUCUCUCUCACACACACACACUCUUUAUCAUCUUCACAGCAAUCCUAUGUUAAGUGAAGAGAGCGCAAUUGGCCCAAGGCCACCUGUCCUAGUGCACUUGAGGCUGCUACAGAGCGUGGCAAGCAAAAUCCUACAAGCUACAAAAGCAAAUUUAAUGCCAAGGAUUAGAAACCAGUAGCUGUUUACUCGUUUGCUUUUUAAUGAUUCAAUCAAAAAAUUAAUUCAGUUUAAAUACAUUUAUUAACUACUCUGUAUUUUUAGCCCACCUUUCAAUGUUUUUUUAUUUAAAUGCUCAACGGGGAGCUUCCAACAACAUCCUUAAAAAAAACGAAUCUGGGCAGCAGGGCAGUGGCAGGACAGGGAAGGUCCUAUCUUCUUAACCAUAUGACAGGUCAUCAGAGCAAAGUCAAGCCUUACUAAGCAGAGAGUUCCAUACUGUCGCUUUUGCCACAGAGACCACCUUAUGCUAUGUACUUGCUGGAUGUGCUCGCUCAGCCAGGGUCAGGGCCAAGUGAAGAGGCUGCCCUGCUGGUCUUAAAGAGCAGGGAGGCUCAUAAGGGAGAAGGCAGCAUUUUAAGUAUUUGUAGUCUGCUUUUCACUCCAGUCCAGUAACAUUAAAAGCACAAUUACCAUAAUACUAGUAGCAAUCAAAAAUAAAAUCAGCAGCAGAAGCAAAAAUAAAUAGAAUAAUAUAAUGGACCCAAGUUGUUCUCAGCUUUAAAGGGUUAAAAAAUCAGCACUUUGAAUUGUGCCUGGAAACAACCCAGAAGCUGAUGCAACUAUUCUAACAGAGGUGUAAUGUGCCCCCGCCCCAAGAACUAGCUCCUGGUAACAUACUAUCAGAUUCUGGGCCAAUGACCCAUGCCUGGAUGUUUUUCAGAGGUGGUCCAUGUAGCGCUCAUUGCAGUAAUCUGGUCUUGAUAGAACAGAAGGGGGUGUCACCAUGGAUAGGUCCAGGGCUUCUUUUUCAGCCAGAACUCAGCUCCGGCACCUCUCAGGUGGGUGCCAUUGUGAUUCCAAGAAAACAAGGGAGGUGUUCAUGGAGAGUUCUGGCACCUCUUUUUCUAGAAAAUUGGCACUAGAUAGAUAUGACUUCUCUAGGAACAGAUGCAGCUGGAACACCAGUCCAGAGUGACCAAAAUCGCUCUUGGCAGCAAUCGAGAGCAGAAAAGAAUUGAGGUUUGCGGGUAGUUGACUUUGUACCUCCUAUGUAUCCUGUUAGAUAUCCUUUCCACAUCAUCGGACUUCACAAACUGAGAAGUAUUCAUGACAUGCAGUUGCUGAAGUUCCAUCCACUGGAUUUGCUCUAACUGUGGCAUCGAAGUUGCAUCAGGGACUCAGGAAGCGGGGGUGUGUGUGUUGCUGGGCAGAGAGAAACUUUUCUCCCUCUCGGUAUUACAACCCACAACCAUCCAGUGAAGCUGAAUGUUACAAGAUUCUGAACAGGCAAAAGGAAGUAUUACUUUACACAAUGCAUAGUCAAACUAGAAUUCAUUACCGCAAGAGGUCCUAACGUAAACUCUAGUCUAAGCCUCCUUUCUCCCUCUCCAGUCUCCAUCAUACCUACCAUUUAAUCACCCCAAGUUCUGCCUGGUGGGUGGGGGUACUCAGGAGUACCUUCUGUCAACCACCCAGGCCAGUUCUUGAUUCCAGAGAUCAACCAAGGCUUUGACAGAAGCACCUGCCAAGAAGACAAAACAAUCCUCCUGAGUCAUCAGAUGGUUUCUGGGUUUCCAUAUGUUUCUACCCUACUUGUGCCAUUGCUGCCUAGGAUUUUGAGUCUCUGGAUAAAUUAGCAAAAGCUAGAAAUCUCAAAAUAGUACUGAAAUACAAUGCACCUGAAAUAUGCUUGUAACCAGUGUAUAUCGUGCUGGUACUCAUCAUGAGGUUGUUAUAAUAAAUGCCACACUUUUAAAAUGGGGGGGGGGAAGCUGCCAGUACUGAAUACCCUGGAGUACCCCCGGGGGGGGGGGACACUGCUUGUAACAUUUCCCAAACAAAUAUUAUUUGGAAUAUAUUCAUAAAAAUUGUAACACUGCAAUAUACCUGGGAUUGUUUAAAAAAGUAAAGGGGGCUGUAGCUCUUUUUAGUAAGUAGAUUUACACUACAUCUUUCUCUUUACAGCUUCCUUUAAGAAUCCUUAUAUUUUGGUAAGUGAAAGAUUGAGCCAAUUUUCCUCCUGCCAGGAAGCAGAUUAGUGGGUCUUUUCACAGAAGCUCCUCCCCUCCUCCUCUAGGACAAAACCAGUUCAUUAAGGAACUGUGACAAAGGCUUUCCAGGAAAGUGAUUCCUUUUUGAUGCUGGUGGAGAAAGAACCAAAGCCCAUGACACACAUUUCUCCCUGUCCAAAUGUGCUACCAUGCUUGUUUGAUCCCUAUGUCCCUAUACAUGUCUGCAACCUACUUUUCUUUUCAGAUAGGAAGCCCAUCUGGAACCCAGAUGGCUGGUGGGAUUUUGCUGUGGCGCCAGAGUGGUCACUUAUUAAGUCAGGUAUUUCUGGGGGUACUCAAGGAUACACAGUACUGGCACCUUUCCCUCCCUACACUGGUCAAAAUCGUAGCACUUACUGCAACCACGUCAUGGUGAGUAUCGGCACAUUUACUCCUCCCUCCCCCGAAGAAAAGCACUGGGUAUAGGACGCGGGUGGCGUUGUGGGUUAAACCACAAAGCCUAGAAGUUGCCAAUCAGAAGGUUGGCGGUUCGAAUCCCCGUGAUGGGGUGAGCUCCCAUUGCUCCUGCCAACCUAGCAGUUCAAAAGCACGUCAAAGUGCAAGUAGAUAAAUAGGUACCGCUCCAGCGGGAAGGUAAAUGGCAUUUCCGUGUGCUGCUCUGGUUCUCCAGAAGCGGCUUAGUUAUGCUGGCCAAAUGACCUGGAAGCUGUACGCCGGCUCCCUCGGCCAAUAAAGUGAGAUGAGUGCUGCAACCCCAGAGUCGGUCACAACUGGUCAGGGGUCCCUUUACCUAUAGGACAGGUAGAGCUGAGCAGAAAGAGGGCUUGCAAAACCCCAGGUAAAGCCUGUAUAUGGUGCUUUGUAAGCCCCCAAAAUCAGCUGAUCAUCAGUGCUUGCAAAGCACAGGGCUGUGCCUUUGCCAGUUUAAUUGCAGACCACAUGGGCAAAAAUGGGCUACCUGAUGUCAUUGUGAUGCCAGAUGAUUGUUAUGGAAACCUUUGCUUUUUGCUACUCUUAAUAUUUUAUUUGUGCUGGAGAACAGACUCCUGUCAGUCCAGUGCAGCUGGCACCCCAAAACUAGUAGGUUUAACCAGAUCAGUAGGACCGCAUGAGGAACUCUGUAGUUUCAGUAAUAUAGAGUAUCCUGUACAAUUCCUGGGAGGGAAAGAGGAAAUCAGCGCUUUUCCAGAAAAGGGAUUUUAUUCAUAGAGCAACUGCAAGAUCAAUUACCGAAAACUAUCCCAGAUGGGAGGGGGAAGCAGCAAUGAGCCAAAUGCAGAAUAGUGUAUAUGGAGAGAAAAGGGUGAGAGCUGGCAGCACUGACAAGAGGGAGAAAUUGAGAGAGAGAGAGAGAGGGGAAGAGGGUGCUGGUUAGUUUUUAAACCUUCCUUCCUUGCAAUUUGUCAAAAGCACUUCAGCAGAAGAGAGAACGGGGAUCCUCCAUGAGACGGUAAAUCCAAGGGCAAAUGAAGCUCAUGUUCCCAGAUUGUAGCAAGAAAACACCAUGGAGCACAG